rnacentral:lncRNA from 1 species
GACCCUGUCUCUAAAUAAAAUACAAAAUAGGGCUGAGGAUGUGUCUCAGUGGUUGAGUGCCUCAGAGUUCAAUAUUUGGUACCAAAAUUAAGUAAAUAAAUAAAUAAAUAAAUAAAACAAAAUUCCUACAAUAUAACUUGGGAGAAUAUCCAGAGGCCCUCAGGUCUGAUGAGGACAAUUUAUAUACAAUAGCAAAGGCACGAUCAAUGAAAGAAAUAGUUGGUAAGCUGGACUUCAUUAAAAUUAGAAACUUCUAAUUUAUAUAAUGUAAUGUCAGAGAUGAAGAAUAUAAGUAUAACAACUGGGAGAAGAUAUUUGCAAAAUGCGCAUCUGAGAGAGGCAGGGCUCAGGUAUACUUAAAUCAUGAAGUUUGUUCCACGAAGAAGAAACUGCAACAGUAAAGACAGGUUUAGAUAGUGGAGGUUUGAAAAUAAAAGCAUACCAAAUGCAGGAAAAUCUCAACCAUGCAAAACCAGGAGAGGAAGACUGGAAACGAUAUUCAUCCCAGGAGGAGGGGGAACACUGAGGAGGAAUCCCAGGUGGAUGAAGGACUACUUCCUUCACUUGGAGGAGAAUGGAGAAAUAUUCAUUUGAUGUAAAUAAAGUACAAGUCAAAAAGUAUAAAUCAGAUACCUUUAAAUAAUUUAUUUUAUUAAAAUAUAAACCAAAUGUUUGGCAGAGGAUCAGAGUGUUCUUGGUGU